CAGUGACAAAUUAAGUUAAUCGGCUGCAGUACUCUGACUGUGCAAAGGUAGCAUAAUCAUUUGCCUAGUAAUUUUAGGCUCGCAUCAACGGUUAGACGAAGGAAAACCUGUCUCCCUUUAUUCAAUUGAAAUUAGUUUUGAAGUGAAGAAUCUUCAAUAAGUAAGUGGGACGAGAAGACCCUACUGAGCUUUAAUCUAAUUAAAAAUUUUUUUUUAAAAAGAUUUUGAUUGGGGCAAUCCUUUUUAUUAUUAAACAAAAGUAAUUAUUAAUGAACUUAACUAGUAAGACCCUAAACUUUUAGGAAUAAGAAAAAGUUACCAUAGGGAUAACAGCGUUAUUUUUCUUGAGAGUACAUAUUGACAGAAAAGUUUGCNNCCUCGAUGUUGGAUUAAGAUAUCCUAGAUGUGCAGCAGCCUCUAA
rnacentral:rRNA from 1 species